AUCACUCUCGACCAGUGAACUAAGCCCUGUACUGUAUGGCUGAUCACUCUUAGCCAGUCAGUUAAUGUAUGGCUGAUCACUCUCAGGCAGUGAGCUAAGCCCUGCACUGUAUUGGCUGAUCACUCUCAGACAGUGAGCUAAGCCCUGUACUGUAUGGCUGAUAUUGGCUGUACUGUAUUGGCUGAUCACUCUCAGUCAGUCACUCUCAGCCAGUGAGCUAAGCCCUGCACUGUAUCGGC